rnacentral:rRNA from 1 species
AGAAUCAACGCUGGCGGCGUGCCUAACACAUGCAAGUCGAACGCGAAAGUGGAGCAAUCCAUGAGUAGAGUGGCAAACGGGUGAGUAACGCGUGGGUGAUUUGCCUCAGGGUGGGGGAUAACCUUCCGAAAGGAGGGCUAAUACCGCAUGACAUCGCGCUCUUCGAUGAGCGUAGAUCAAAGCUGGAACCGCAAGGUCUGGCGCCUGGAGAGAAGCCCGCGUCCGAUUAGCUAGUUGGUGAGGUAAUGGCUCACCAAGGCGACGAUCGGUA